GAUGAACGCUAGCGGCAGGCCUAAUACAUGCAAGUCGAACGGGAUCCAGAUCAAAGCUUGCUUUGGUUUGGUGAGAGUGGCGCACGGGUGCGUAACGCGUGAGCAACCUACCCUUGUCAGGGGGAUAGCCCGGCGAAAGUCGGAUUAAUACCGCAUGACAUCAUUGAGAGGCAUCUUUCGAUGAUCAAAGAUUUAUCGGACAAGGAUGGGCUCGCGUGACAUUAGCUAGUUGGUAAGGUAACGGCUUACCAAGGCUACGAUGUCUAGGGGCUCUGAGAGGGGAAUCCCCCACACUGGUACUGAGACACGGACCAGACUCCUACGGGAGGCAGCAGUAAGGAAUAUUGGUCAAUGGACGGAAGUCUGAACCAGCCAUGCCGCGUGCAGGAAGACGGCCCUAUGGGUUGUAAACUGCUUUUAUACGGGAACAAACGUCGGUACGUGUACCGGUCUGAGUGUACCGUAAGAAUAAGGAUCGGCUAACUCCGUG
rnacentral:rRNA from 1 species